UUCCAGGGAUGGAGGGAUGGGAAACGAACCCACAGUAUUCCGCUUACCGGGCAGAUGCCAUGUCCACUAGGCUACCCUAGA
rnacentral:tRNA from 1 species